rnacentral:rRNA from 1 species
UACGGGGGGUGCGAGCGUUGUUCGGAAUUACUGGGCGUAAAGGGCUCGUAGGCGGCCAACUAAGUCGGACGUGAAAUCCCCAGGCUCAACCUGGGAACUGCGUCUGAUACUGGAUGGCUUGAAUCCGGGAGAGGGAUGCAGAAUUCCAGGUGUAGCGGUGAAAUGCGUAGAUAUCUGGAGGAAUACCGGUGGCGAAGGCGGCAUCCUGGACCGGCAUUGACGCUGAGGAGCGAAAGCCAGGGGAGCAAACGGG